UGCCUACUGUACUGGAAUCAGUGUGACCAUGAAACUGGCUCAGUCCAGCAGGGACAGC
ensembl:miRNA gmo-mir-24b gmo-mir-24b